ACACACACUGCUCUUUUUUCCCCUUUUUUCCCCCUUUUCUUUCUUCUUUUUUUUUUUUUUUUUUUUUUUUACAUAACACCAUUUUAAUGAAAAUGCUGUUUUUCUAAAAUGAAUGUGACUGUUAGAGAGGAUCUGAAUGAUGCUUAUGUAACCUCAAACCCUGAGUCUGGGUAGAUUCUAAUUCAUUAAAGGAAAGGAAGCCGGGGGAGUUCUGACAUAUUUGCCUCCCACCUUUAAAACAAUGGGAUCUGUAAGGACUGUCUCAGCCGGUUGCUAAGGGACCUUGUUGGACUUUGACCCUGUGCUCCAGCUAGGCGGUUCCCUGCCAAGGCCUGCUCUCUUGUCCGUUGGAUGACACUUCUCUCCUGUUCAUUUCCUCUUCCAUAGAUAGUUUCUCCCCUGUAAUAUUUAUAAAGUACUUCCAUAUAUAUUAUUACCUGGCCUGUUUAAUUUUUCAUGUUAUGGUUAGCAGAAUAGAUAUGCUCAUCUUCGAGAGGAAGAAACAUGGUCUGGAAAGGGUUAAUCGAGAUUCAUCUGAGGUCCCAGCUGAUGAAGCAGCAGCAGCAGUGGGGAAACUGAGGCAGGCCUGUCAUGAUUUCGGGUCCUUCUACACACCUUCUCUAGGAACUCUCUGACGAUUUAAAAGGCCCCUGGAGGCUAGGAAUUGUGCUGUUCAUUAUUGGAUCUCGUGUCUCGUGUAUAACUAGACAGAAUGAGAGGACCUUGUCUGUUUGUCCAGCACAUGGUGACUCCGUGUCUCGGUGUCCUCUGUGCAGGGUACAGUGGCUCGUGCCCGAGACAACAGAGUUAAAUGCAUGUUGCAUCUCACCCUUGGGUGUGCACACAGUCAGAUACGUUCCCUUGCCUGUGCUCUCGUCUGCUUCUCUGGCUUUGGUGUCUUAAAGUCGGGCGUUGCCACACAGCUCAUGGUACCCUGAACUACAUCGAUCCUCCUGCCUCAGCCCCCUGAGUCCUGGGAUGACAGGAACUGUGAGAUGAGAACCUAGGCCCUCACACUUAGCUGCUGAGCCGUCUCCCCAGCCAUGGACGUCCCUGACUCUUCUGCUUCCAUCCCUGGAAUUCUGGGGUUCCAGAUGUGGUACCAACACAUCCAGUUUAUGUGGGGCUGGGGAUUACACAAACCCAGGGCUUUGGGCAUGUGAGGGAAACAGUCUCCCAGCUGGCCCACAUUCUAGUCCUGUCUUUGUUAUUAUUUUAUUAAUGUAUUGUUUGGUUUUUGAGACAGAGUCUUACUGUAGCCUGACUGACCUUAACCUCACAGAGAUCUGUUGAGGUUUGUUCUGUGGCUGUGUUGUAAUGCUGAGUUCUGUAUCGGAAGGUCUUCUUGCCUAUCAGUAAAUUCUCGCAUUUACCAGC